UGAAUUGACGGGACCCGCACAAGCAGCGGAGCGUGUGGUUUAAUUCGUUGCUACACGAAGAACCUUACCUGGGUUUGACAUAUAGGUUGUAGGGAACUGAAAAGGGACCGACCCUUCGGGGAGCCUAUACAGGUGUUGCAUGGCUGUCGUCAGCUCGUGUCGUGAGAUGUUCGGUUAAGUCCGCUAACGAGCGCAACCCUCGUCGUAUGUUAUAUGUGUCAUACGAGACUGCCGGUAAAAAGCCGGAGGAAGGUGAGGAUGAUGUCAAGUCAGCAUGACCUUUAUAUCCAGGGCUACACACACGCUACAAUGGUCUGUACAAUGGGUAGCCAAGCCGCGAGGCGGAGCCAAUCCUGAAAGCAGGCCUCAGUUCAGAUUGCAGUCUGCAACUCGCCUGCAUGAAGAUGGAGUUGCUAGUAACCGCAGGUCAGCAAUACUGCGGUGAAUACGUUCCCGGGUCUU
rnacentral:rRNA from 1 species